GCGGCCCAGGUAAAAGAACUGUCUGUCUGACUCCUUUGGCUGAAAGAUAUCGUAAAUCACUUCUGGUGCUGCUGCAAAACAGCCGACUCCUAUGAAGAGUUCCUGACACUGUGGGCAGGCCUUUUACAUCAUGUCUGCAACGAGCAUGAGUGGGCUAUGGGCAGCUGUAAACAUGGGCAGCUGGCAGACUCGGAGAAACAAUGGAUUCAAAGAGAUUCUAAAGCACACAAGGCUCUUGUGGACAUAAUCCUCAAGAAACGAUGGUUGAAGGAUGUGCACAAAUACCUGCGCUUUAGAUCAACGGCAGACCUCGGAUCCUUUCAAAAUCAUAUAUUAAUGUAUGCCAGCAAGCGCUUUGCCUUCAGUCCACCGGUGUAUGAAGCCCGAGUCAUCCUGGCAGCCGUGGACUACAACUACCAUCGGGACCGAC